AUUAGGCACAGACUCUGAGAAUUUUGUCUGACUGAGGGGACGUUCAUUAUAACCACUCCGGUGGCAAACAGCUGAUU